GUUUGGGAACGGGACCAAGCUGGACUUUGAGGGGAAUGAACGUCUUCUUCUCUACUGCUUGGCGGGAGCUUUGACGUUGAGUGUGAUCCUAAAUAUUGUCCUCAUUCUGAAAAUGAGAAAAAGCUGUGAGAAAUGCAAAGGAGCUGCAUCAAACAACCAAGUGAGC